ACACAUGCAAGUCGAACGGUGGUAGCAAUACUAAAGUGGCAAACGGGUGCGUAACGCGUAACCAACCUGCCCCAUACCGGGGGAUAGCCCGGCGAAAGCUGGGGUAAACCCGCACGGUCCCAAGAGGUCACCUGGUUUUUUGGGUAAACAUUUAUGGGUUUGAGAGGGGCUUGCGUCUGAUUAGCUAGUUGGCAGGGUAACGGCCUACCAAGGCGAUGAUCAGUAGGGGUUCUGAGAGGAUUGGCCCCCACAUGGGUACUGAGAUACGGGCCCGACUCCUACGGGAGGCAGCAGUAGGGAAUAUUGGGCAAUGGGCGAGAGCCUGACCCAGCCAUGCCGCGUGCAGGACGAAGGCUUUCUGAGUCGUAAACUGCUUUUGACAGGGAAGAAUAAGCUGGUCGUGACCAGUGAUGACGGUACCUGCAGAAUAAGCACCGGCUAACUCCGUGCCAGCAGCCGCGGUAAU
rnacentral:rRNA from 1 species